rnacentral:rRNA from 1 species
CACGUAGGGCGCAAGCGUUGUCCGGAAUUAUUGGGCGUAAAGAGCUCGUAGGCGGUCUGUUGCGUCCGCUGUGAAAACUCGGGGCUUAACCCCGAGCCUGCAGUGGAUACGGGCAGACUAGAGGUAGGUAGGGGAGAAUGGAAUUCCCGGUGUAGCGGUGAAAUGCGCAGAUAUCGGGAGGAACACCGGCGGCGAAGGCGGUUCUCUGGGCCUUACCUGACGCUGAGGAGCGAAAGCGUGGGGAGCGAACAGG